rnacentral:rRNA from 1 species
CUCUUUCUCGAUUCAGUGGAUGGUGGUGCAUGGCCGUUCUUAGUUGGUGGAGUGAUCUGUCUGGUUAAUUCCGAUAACGAACGAGACUCUCCCCUGCUAACUAGUCGGUUGGAUCUUGAUCAGUGGGUUGAGUGCCGAGUAACUCUCGCUGUGCGUGUUGUGCGUCGCGUUCCUCACGGUUCGUUGCGUGCUCAUGUGUGGCGUUGGAUGCCUUGGAUCACACUGCACCCCAAGUCCGCCGCUUUGCUAUAACUCUUCUUAGAGGGAUUCACGGCACUGAAGCCGUAAGAGACUGAGAGCAAUAACAGGUCUGUGAUGCCCUUAGAUGCUCUGGGCCGCACGCGCGCUACAAUGCCGGGCACAGCAGGUGUUUCUCCUGCUCCGACAGGAGCGGGUAACCCUCUGAAAGCCAGUGUUCUUGCAAGUGCUUCCUCCCUCGUGGAGUUGCACAGAGGCGUGCUUGGGCCUGGGACUUGCAAUUCUUUCCCACCAACGAGGAAUGCCUAGUAGCGGCGGGUCACUGAGCCCGCUGUGACUCAGUCCCUGCCCUUUGUACACACCGCCCGUCGCUACUACCGAUUGGGUGUACCAGUGAGAGCCUUGGACUGGCGUCCGUUGUUGCUCGCAAGAGUGACAAGCGGGUCCGACGGAAAGAG